rnacentral:rRNA from 1 species
ACGUAGGGCGCAAGCGUUGUCCGGAAUUAUUGGGCGUAAAGAGCUCGUAGGCGGUUUGUCGCGUCUGGUGUGAAAACUCAAGGCUCAACCUUGAGCUUGCAUCGGGUACGGGCAGACUAGAGUGCGGUAGGGGUGACUGGAAUUCCUGGUGUAGCGGUGGAAUGCGCAGAUAUCAGGAGGAAUACCAAUGGCGAAGGCAGCCCCCUGGGAUAAUAUUGACGCUCAUGCACGAAAGCGUGGGGAGCAAACAGGAUUAGAUACCCUGGUAAUCCACGCCCUAAACGAUGUCAACUGGUUGUUGGGAAUUCAUUUUUUCAGUAACGAAGCUAACGCGUGAAGUUGACCGCCUGGGGAGUACGGCCGCAAGGUUGAAACU